UGACUAGGCUACAUAGUAUACAGUUUUUCAAUCAAACACUCAUCUAUGUGUUUGUUUCUGUAAAGAUAUUUUGUUAAUGUGAUUAACAUCUAUAGUCAGUGAAUUUUAAGUAAAGGAGAUUAUUCUGGAUAUUCUGAGUGGGACUCAUCAAAUCCACUGAAACCUGAAGAUUCCCUAAGGCAGAAAUUCCACCUGUGGACUGUAAUACCAGAUACUGCCUGAGAAGUUCCAGCCUACCUUCCUGACAGCCUGUGGAUUUUGGACUCGCCUAGGCAGUCCUCAAAAUGUGCAUAUUAAUGCUUUGCAAUCAGAUUUCAUAGACCUAUCUUACUGUUCUGUUUCUCUGAUGGAAUCCUGAUUGAUACACCAUAGUUCUCUUUUUAUCAGGGAUAAAAGAUUUACCAAAAAGCCACUCCCAGAGGUCUUCUGUCACAUCACACUGGGAAGAACUGUAUCAGAUGUUUCUUCUGAAAACAAUUGCUACAAAGGUUUCCAGACAAUAUGGAGCUACAAACAGAUUUAAAAGGGGAAGACUGCACAUCAUGCAGAAAUCUUGGAUUUUUGGGGCGCCUGGGUGGCUCGGUGGGUUAGGCCUCUGCCUUCGGCUCAGGUCGUGAUCCCAGGGUUCUUGGAUCGAGUCCCGCAUUGGGCUCUCUGCUCAGCAGGGAGCCUGCUUCCCCUCCUUUCUCUCUCUCUGCCUGCCUCUCG
rnacentral:lncRNA from 1 species